CCGAUAUAGCUCAAUUGGUAGAGCAACUGAUUUGUAAUCAGUAGGUUUUCGGUUCGAGUCCGAAUAU
rnacentral:tRNA from 1 species